rnacentral:rRNA from 1 species
GUCCUUUUGUGAAUAAUUUAAGGUCUAACCUGCCCACUGAAAAUUUAAAUGGCCGUGGUAUUUUGACCGUGCUAAGGUAGCAUAAUCAUUAGUUUUUUAAUUAAAAACUGGAAUGAAAGGUUGAAUAAGAAAAUGACUGUCUCUAUUAAAUUAUUAGAAUUUUAUUUUUAAGUUAAAAAGCUUAAUUGGAUUUAAAAGACGAGAAGACCCUAUAGAGUUUAAUUAUUAAAUAAAAAUUAUAUUUUAGUAUUUAUUUAUAUAUUUUAUUUAAUAAUUUAAUUGGGGUGAUUGAAAAAUUUAAUAAACUUUUUUUAUUUUUGAACAUAAAUUUAUGAAUAAAUGAUCCAAUAUUUUUGAUUAUAAGAUAAAAUUACCUUAGGGAUAACAGCGUAAUUUUUUUAUAGAGUUCAUAUUAAAAGAAAAGAUUGCGACCUCGAUGUUGGAUUAAAAUUAAUUUUUGGUGUAGAAGCUAAAAUAUUGGGUCUGUUCGACCUUUAAAAUUUUAC